ACCCAGCUGACGAGUCCUAAAUAGGACGAGACGUGCAUCCUGUAU
rnacentral:hammerhead_ribozyme from 1 species